CUACGUGCCAGCAGCCGCGGUAAUACGUAGGGUGCGAGCGUUAAUCGGAAUUACUGGGCGUAAAGCGAGCGCAGACGGUUACUUAAGCAGGAUGUGAAAUCCCCGGGCUCAACCUGGGAACUGCGUUCUGAACUGGGUGACUAGAGUGUGUCAGAGGGAGGUAGAAUUCCACGUGUAGCAGUGAAAUGCGUAGAGAUGUGGAGGAAUACCGAUGGCGAAGGCAGCCUCCUGGGAUAACACUGACGUUCAUGCUCGAAAGCGUGGGUAGCAAACAGGAUUAGAUACCCUGGUAGUCCACGCUGUAAACGAUGUCGACUUGGAGGUUGUGCCCUUGAGGCGUGGCUUCCGGAGCUAACGCGUUAAAUCGACCGCCUGGGGAGUACGGCCGCAAGGUUAAAACUCAAAUGAAUUGACGGGGGCCCGCACAAGCGGUGGAGCAUGUGGUUUAAUUCGAUGCAACGCGAAGAACCUUACCUACUCUUGACAUCCAGAGAACAUUC
rnacentral:rRNA from 1 species